rnacentral:rRNA from 1 species
AUACAGAGGUCCCAAGCGUUGUUCGGAUUCACUGGGCGUAAAGGGUGCGUAGGCGGUCGGGUAAGUCUGACGUGAAAUCUUCAAGCUCAACUUGGAAACUGCGUCGGAUACUAUUCGGCUAGAGGAAUGGAGGGGAGACUGGAAUACUUGGUGUAGCAGUGAAAUGCGUAGAUAUCAAGUGGAACACCAGUGGCGAAGGCGAGUCUCUGGACAUUUCCUGACGCUGAGGCACGAAAGCCAGGGGAGCAAACGGGAUUAGAUACCCCGGUAGUCCUGGCCCUAAACGGUGCACGUUUGCUGUAAGAGGAAUCGACCCCUUUUGUGGCGAAGCUAACGCGUUAAACGUGCCGCCUGGGAAGUACGGCCGCAAGGUUAAAACUCAAAGAAAUUGACGGGGGCCUGCACAAGCGGUGGAGUAUGUGGCUUAAUUCGAUGCAACGCGAAGAACCUUACCUGGCCUUGACAUGCACAUAGUAGAAGCCUGAAAGGGUGACGAGGUAGCAAUACCAGUGUGCACAGGUGCUGCAUGGCUGUCGUCAGCUCGUGUCGUGAGAUGUUGGGUUAAGUCCCGCAACGAGCGCAACCCCUGUGUCCUGUUGCCACCCCUUAAUUGGGAGCACUCUGGACAGACUGCCUCGCUUCAACGAGGAGGAAGGUGGGGAUGACGUCAAGUCAGUAUGGCCCUUACGGCCAGGGCUGCACACGUACUACAAUGCCCGGCACAAAGGGAAGCAAGACCGUCAGGUGGAGCAAAUCCCAGAAAACCGGGCCCAGUUCAGAUUGUCGUCUGCAACUCGACGGCAUGAAGCUGGAAUCGCUAGUAAUGGCGCAUCAGCUACGGCGCCGUGAAUACGUUCCCAGGCCUUGUACACACCGCCCGUCACAUCAUGAAAGCCGGUUGUACCCGAAGUCGCCCCUUAAAAGGUGCCGAAGGUAUGGCUGGUGAUUGGGAUGAAGUCGUAACAAGGUAGCCGUAGGGGAACCUGCGGCUG